rnacentral:lncRNA from 1 species
CCGUACACUCUAACGAUCUGUUCAAUUGUGCAUGACGAAAACUUACGUAGGCACUAUGGGAGCUGGGAUCUGUUAGCCACGUCACCUCUAAAAGUCAGGUCAACAAAAUAUGUGGUUAAAAAAAAUAAAAAGUUAAUAUCAUUUUAUGUAAGAAUGUGUAAUUGAAAAUAAGUUUUGAAAUAAUUUAUUUUGAAAUAAUGGAGUCGAAAUAAGGGCUAUAAAUCAUUCGAAGCUCUUUUUGGUUGUAAUUUUCACAUGCAAUAGACCUUUAUAAAGAGGGUGUUUGACACCAAUUUUUAUCGAAAAAUGAAUUUUAGAAUAAUAGAUUGAUGGAGAAUGUGCGGAUGAAAAAUAAUGAAAUUUUUUUGAUUUACGUAUAAUACUAUUUUAACGAAUAAUAUGUGAUUAAAAAGAAGAGAGAGAAAAAUGUAUUUUGAUAAAAAAAAAUGAGAAUCAAACGGGAAUAAAAUAUAUUUGAAACGUUCUAAUUUCGAGACUAGUUGUUCAACUAUGGAAUGACAAGAGCCUAAUUCUAGUUGAAAAUAUAAAGUCCACUAGCUACAUUAGCCUAACAAGGCCAAGUUAACAGGACCAAGUUUGGCACUAGUGGAGCAGUCUCUUAAAGCCCAUGGUUUAGUCCUAGAAAUUGUAGUCUUAUCAAAUCCAAGUCAUUAUCGAAUCCAUACCAGUAGAAUUUUUUUUUAUUGAUUGUCAUUAUCGAAUCCAUACUCUAGUCUCUAGGGAGUUGGACCCCAAUAUAUUUUGCUUUUCCAUAGAAUCGAGAUCGAGAUAUCCGCCUCUAAUGUACUUUAGUUGAAUGCUAGUACCAAUUAAACAAGUAAGAUUUAACUUAAGUCUCCCUUUAAGAAGAAGCCAUGAGUUCGAGACCAAUGAAAAAUAGCGUGUGAAUAUAUUUUUCCAAAACUAAACUCUUGCAAACACCUGAACUCUGAGUACAAGGUAAUUUGUUUUCUGGGGAACAACACGUUUGACUGAGUUAAAGAAUUACUUAUAAGUAAAUAUGUUAUUGUUAAUAAAGUAAAAAAAUUACUUUAAAAGUAAUAUUACUUUAGUCUUAAUAAAUAAUCCUUUUAUUGUUUAUAGGUAAGGAACUGAUCGAUGAGCAAAUUGACAUUUGACGGCUCAAACUUAAUUUGGUAUAGUAAAUCUUUUGACAAAAAUAUGAAAUUUUCUUAUUAUUAACUUAAGUUUAAAUUUAUUUUUUAAAUGUUCAGUUCAAUUCAAGUUGAAUAAUUUGCUAUGUUCUGUUUGAUUUUUAUAGAAAUCAGAUUUUUAUAGAAGGUGAUUGAAAUAUAUGGUUGAAAAAGUUGUAGGUCUCAUAGAAAAUGUUGUAAGUUUUUACGAGUUAAUAAAUUGUUACCUAAACCAAACAUGGGCUAAAAGCUUGUUUAUCGAAGAUUUUUUUUAAUUAUUUUUUAAAAUAUUUUUAUUUAUAUAUUUUAUGAUAUUUAUAACUUUUUUUUUUUCA